rnacentral:lncRNA from 1 species
GGAAAGCCCUGAUACCUCCACGUGGGAAUUUAGUCAAGAAAAAAAAGAAGAGAGACAUGGCCACGUUAAAGGGAAUGCAGUGUGCAUUUCUGAGGGCCAUGGGAGUUAGAGCCCAGCAGCUCACAGUGCCCACUCCGUGCUGGUACGAGUGUCCCUGCCCGGGUCCUGCUGCACAGCCACCAGCCAAAGCCCCGCACGACGAGCAGCGCGAUUCCAGCGCCGUGGGGAAGCCGCGGGUUCGGGCCGCGUUCGGCUCUGGGGCAGCCAGGAAAAAGAGGACACACGGCGUGCGUGGCGUUGCCUCCAUCCCUUUUAUCCUUUAUCCCAUUACAUAAGAGUAUAAAGCAUAUUUUUACCCCAGGAAAAGAAGGAGGAAAAGAAAAAAAAAAAAAAAAGCGGGGAAUGAAGGAAACGCAGCAAAGGAGAAAUACGGCUUUAACUCGCUGCCAUCUGACACGAAAGACAACUUCGGAGCGGUUUUCCAAGCCGCGCUGCGCCGCUGUCCCCGCACGUGGGAGCGCUCCGGGGGCCGGCCCGGCCCGUCCGCUCCGGGAGGUGCGGGAGCAGCCAGAGCCGAGACCGAGCGGGUUUGGCAGCGGGCUGAGGGCAGCUGGGACCUCCCGGGCUGCUCCGACCUCUCUGUCCGGAGCGGGCGGUCGAAUUUUACCUUCAUAGAGAGAUGAUGUUUGCGAGAUCCGCGUUUAGCUUUCCGAGCGGGCGGCGUUAGGGCUCGUUUCUAAAAAGCAAAACAAAAAACUCACUGAAAUAUACGUUUUCCUUUCCCCCCCGCCCCGU